CGUAGGUGGCAAGCGUUGUCCGGAAUUAUUGGGCGUAAAGCGCGCGCAGGCGGUCCUUUAAGUCUGAUGUGAAAUCACGUGGCUCAACCACGUGCGGUCAUUGGAAACUGGAGGACUUGAGUGCAGAAGAGGAAAGUGGAAUUCCAAGUGUAGCGGUGAAAUGCGUAGAGAUUUGGAGGAACACCAGUGGCGAAGGCGACUUUCUGGUCUGUAACUGACGCUGAGGCGCGAAAGCGUGGGAGCAAACAGGAUU
rnacentral:rRNA from 1 species